AGCUUAAAGGAAUUAUUUUAAGUUAUACCUGCCCGGUGAAUAUUUUUAACGGCUGCGGUACCUUGACCGUACUAAGGUAGCAUAAUCAAUUGGCUUUUAAAUGGAGUCUGGAAUGAACGGGAAAUUGGAGUUUAACUUUCUUAUAAAAAUUUUAUUGAAAUUACUAUAAAAGUGAAAAAGCUUUUAUAAGAAAAAAGACGAGAAGACCCUUGGAGUUUUUCUAUUUUUGUUGGGGCGACAUUAAAAAUUUAACUUUUAAUUUGUAAUUAUCAACUAUUAGUUAUAAUUUAUAAACUACCCAAGGGAUAACAGCAUAAUUCUAUUUGAGAUUGUGACCUCGAUGUUGGACUAGGAAAUAUAAUAACUAGCAGUUAUUAUUAUUUGUUCUGUUCGAACUUUAUUCUCCU
rnacentral:rRNA from 1 species